rnacentral:rRNA from 1 species
GACGAACGCUGGCGGCGUGCUUAACACAUGCAAGUCGAACGGAAAGGCCCUGCUUUUGUGGGGUGCUCGAGUGGCGAACGGGUGAGUAACACGUGAGUAACCUGCCCUUGACUUUGGGAUAACUUCAGGAAACUGGGGCUAAUACCGGAUAGGAGCUCCUGCUGCAUGGUGGGGGUUGGAAAGUUUCGGCGGUUGGGGAUGGACUCGCGGCUUAUCAGCUUGUUGGUGGGGUAGUGGCUUACCAAGGCUUUGACGGGUAGCCGGCCGGAGAGGGUGACCGGCCACAUUGGGACAGAGAAAGGGCCAGUACGCAAGCGGGGGGAAGCAGGGGGAGUUUUACCAAAAGGGGCGGAGGCCGGAUGCAGCAACGCCGGGUGGGGGAGCGCGGUCUGGGGGUUAUAACCCGCUUUCGCCUGGGACGAAGGGUGAGUGAGGGUAAUGUAUAAAAAAGCCCCGGCUAGCUACGUG